UACGGAGGGUGCAAGCGUUAUCCGGAAUCACUGGGUUUAAAGGGUGCGUAGGCGGCUUGAUAAGUCAGAGGUGAAAGCCCACGGCUCAACUGUGGAACUGCCUUUGAUACUGUCAGGCUUGAAUUGGGUUGAGGCAGGCGGAAGGUGGCAUGUAGCGGUGAAAUGCUUAGAUAUGCCAUAGAACACCGAUUGCGAAGGCAGCCUGCCAAGCCUUGAUUGACGCUGAGGCACGAAAGCGUGGGGAGCGAACAGG
rnacentral:rRNA from 1 species